rnacentral:rRNA from 1 species
UGGGGAAUAUUGCACAAUGGAGGGAACUCUGAUGCAGCGACGCCGCGUGAACGAAGAAGGCUUUCGAGUCGUAAAGUUCUUUUAUAUGGGAAGAUAAUGACGGUACCAUAAGAAAAAGCCCCGGCUAACUACGUGCCAGCAGCCGCGGUAAUACGUAGGGGGCUAGCGUUGUCCGGAAUUAUUGGGCGUAAAGGGUACGUAGGCGGUCUAUUAAGUCAGGUGUGAAAGCGUGAGGCUUAACCUCAUUAAGCACUUGAAACUGAUAGACUUGAGUGAAGGAGAGGAAAGUGGAAUUCCUAGUGUAGCGGUGAAAUGCGUAGAUAUUAGGAGGAAUACCGGUGGCGAAGGCGACUUUCUGGACUUUUACUGACGCUCAGGUACGAAAGCGUGGGGAGCAAACAGG